rnacentral:rRNA from 1 species
GGAUAUUGCGCAAUGGGCGAAAGCCUGACGCAGCGACGCCGCGUGGGUGAUGAAGGCCUUCGGGUCGUAAAGCCCUGUCGAGGGGGAAGAAAUGGUCGAGACCCAAUCCGUCUCUAUCUUGACGGUACCCCUCAAGGAAUCACCGGCUAACUCCGUGCCAGCAGCCGCGGUAAUACGGAGGGUGCAAGCGUUGUUCGGAAUCACUGGGCGUAAAGCGCGUGCAGGCGGCUCGUUAAGUCUGGUGUGAAAGCCCGGGGCUCACCCCCGGAAGUGCACUGGAUACUGGCGGGCUCGAGUCCCGGAGAGGAGGGUGGAAUUCCUGGUGUAGCGGUGAAAUGCGUAGAUAUCAGGAGGAACACCGGCGGCGAAGGCGGCCCUCUGGACGGUGACUGACGCUGAGACGCGAAAGCGUGGGGAGCAAACAGG